UGGGGAAUCUUCCGCAAUGGACGAAAGUCUGACGGAGCAACGCCGCGUGAGUGAUGACGGCCUUCGGGUUGUAAAGCUCUGUUAAUCGGGACGAAUGGUUCUUGUGCGAAUAGUGCAAGGAUUUGACGGUACCGGAAUAGAAAGCCACGGCUAACUACGUGCCAGCAGCCGCGGUAAUACGUAGGUGGCAAGCGUUGUCCGGAAUUAUUGGGCGUAAAGCGCGCGCAGGCGGAUUGGUCAGUCUGUCUUAAAAGUUCGGGGCUUAACCCCGUGAUGGGAUGGAAACUGCCAAUCUAGAGUAUCGGAGAGGAAAGUGGAAUUCCUAGUGUAGCGGUGAAAUGCGUAGAUAUUAGGAAGAACACCAAUGGCGAAGGCGACUUUCUGGACGAAAACUGACGCUGAGGCGCGAAAGCCAGGGGAGCGAACGGG
rnacentral:rRNA from 1 species